AGCGGAGAUGGCUAGCGAUAAGGUUUCUUUACAAAGGUCACGGAUCAGAGCGGUGUGUUCUGGGGCUGACAGCUGGUCUGAGGGAGGCCGUGUCUGUGUCAGCGAUGCAGCUAUGUGAAUGGACUCCAUCUCCACUACGGGACUGUCCACCGCCGCAGUGGUGGCCAUUAGUGUAUAGCUCAUACUGGUUUUGAUAUUUCUCUCCAGCCAGGAGAGUGUGCCAGUGCCGGCUCUAAAGAACUCACAUCAAAGGAACAAACAGAGGUUCUUGCUGACAGCGUGAGUGAGAAAAAAUUGGAGACGGAAUGCUGUUUAUAUUUUGUACUGCCUGCAGCGAUCAAUUGCAGACUGAGCAACAAGUUCUUCCCAGGCUAUCUCAGUGAGCUCAACAGUUGCUCCAUCUUUGCUAUUUCCACCUCCGAACUCAUCGGCAAGUCCUGACCCUUCUUGUCCUGUGGAGCCAAAGAGAGAAAUGAAGAGGCCGAGAUGAGUC